rnacentral:misc_RNA from 1 species
GUUGAAGAACGUAGCGAAAUGCGAUAAGUAGUGUGAAUUGCAGAAUUCAGUGAAUCAUCGAAUCUUUGAACGCACAUUGCGCCCCUUGGUAUUCCGAGGGGCAUGCCUGUUCGAGCGUCAUUAUCACCCCUCAAGCUUUGCUUGGUGUUGGGGCCUGCUGUAAUAGGCAGCCCUUAAAAUCAGUGGCGGUGCUUCAAGGCUCUAAGCGUAGUAAUUCUCCUCGCUAUAGUGUCUAGUGGUUGCCAGCCAGAACCCCCCAAUUUUCAUGAUUGACCUCGGAUCAGGUAGGGAUACCCGCUGAACUUAAGCAUAUCAAUAAGCGGAGGA